CAAGAUGCCCUUUGCAGGUUUUCACCUUGGCCUCUCCUUUAUCUUUUCUUUUCUUUUCUUUUUUUUUUCUUUUUUAUCACUUUUUUUUUGAAUCUGAACUCCUAGGAUUAGGCAAGUCCUUGUUAUCCCUUCUGAUCAAAAUCAACGCUUUUCCAGAUAAGGCUUCCCUAUAUGGUUCUUCCCAGCUUGGGAUGAAGUUCUUUUUGUAUGGGAAGGAUCUUCUUCAAU
rnacentral:lncRNA from 1 species